CGCCUUACACAUGCAAGUCGAACGACGCUAGGGGCAACUCUAGCGAGUGGCGAACGGGUGAGUAAUACAUCGGAACGUGUCCUGUCGUGGGGGAUAACCAGUCGAAAGAUUGGCUAAUACCGCAUGACCUCGUAAGAGAAAAGCGGGGGACCGCAAGGCCUCGCGCGACUGGAGCGGCCGAUGUCGGAUUAGCUAGUUGGCGGGGUAAGAGCCCACCAAGGCGACGAUCCGUAGCUGGUUUGAGAGAACGACCAGCCACACUGGGACUGAGACACGGCCCAGACUCCUACGGGAGGCAGCAGUGGGGAAUUUUGGACAAUGGGGGCAACCCUGAUCCAGCCAUGCCGCGUGUGUGAAGAAGGCCUUCGGGUUGUAAAGCAC
rnacentral:rRNA from 1 species